rnacentral:ncRNA from 2 species
CAUUAUCUCAUGGGGUGCUUGGUUGAUAAAAAACCAAAGCUGAGAAGCGAAGGCUCGCUAACCCAUUGAACCUGAUCCAGAUUAUGCUGGCGUAGGAAUUGAGAUAGCAAGUCUGU